rnacentral:rRNA from 1 species
GAUGAACGCUGGCGGCGUGCCUAAUACAUGCAAGUCGAGCGAACGGACGAGAAGCUUGCUUCUCUGAUGUUAGCGGCGGACGGGUGAGUAACACGUGGAUAACCUACCUAUAAGACUGGGAUAACUUCGGGAAACCGUAGCUAAUACCGGAUAAUAUUUUGAACCGCAUGGUUCAAAAGUGAAAGACGGUCUUGCUGUCACUUAUAGAUGGAUCCGCGCUGCAUUAGCUAGUUGGUAAGGUAACGGCUUACCAAGGCAACGAUGCAUAGCCGACCUGAGAGGGUGAUCGGCCACACUGGAACCGAGACACGGUCCAGACUCCUACGGGAGGCAGCAGUAGGGAAUCUUCCGCAAUGGGCGAAAGCCUGACGGAGCAACGCCGCGUGAGUGAUGAAGGUCUUCGGAUCGUAAAACUCUGUUAUUAGGGAAGAACAUAUGUGUAAGUAACUGUGCACAUCUUGACGGUACCUAAUCAGAAAGCCACGGCUAACUACGUG